UGCUGUGUUAGUAUUGCACUAGUAAAAAAUCAUGAUUUUCUUCAUAUUAGAACUAUCAUAACUAUGCUCAUUAUGUUAUUUGAAUAUAUGAUAAAUCGUUGUGGAUUUAACCCUCAACCUAGGCUAUUGAUAUAAGCAUGAGGAUAUGGUAUGCGAUUCACAAUGGAUAAGGCUCGUUACUUGAAUGAAUAUGAAGGGAUGACUUACCUGAUUAUGCUUUGUCCUUUUAUCCCUUUGGCAUGUUGAAUACUUGUCCCCAGAUAUUUUCUAUUCUCUGCGUGUUUGGGUAAGAUCCGCAAACUCUAGAUAUCCUCUUCCUCUCUGUAUUUUAUGUGUAUGUAUGAGCUUCUUUCUCUGAUCUCUGUGUGUUUUUGUUUCUGGGUUUUCUGCACUAUAUGUGAGGCUUAAAAAAUAUGUGUUAUCUUUUCUCCGUUAUGGUCUCUUUCUGAAUUUUCUAUAUUCUGGUCCCUUGUCACUGCGUAUAUGUGUAUGCUCCUAAUGUUUCCUUGUUAUCACUAUGUGGUUUGUAUGUGUGUAUGCUAAUUCUGGAUGAUCUCUUUGUCUUGCUGAAAGCUUUUUCUAGCGUUUUAUGUUCUCUCUACAACUUUUUUAUUGCACUAUAACUGUAUACUCUCUCCUCUUUUCUCUUUUACUGAAUUUCUCUAGAAUGCUCUAUGCUUGUACUGAGUGUAUGUGUGUAGCAAUGUUAUCCCCCAAUAAGCUGCAAAAAAUAAUCAC
rnacentral:lncRNA from 1 species